rnacentral:rRNA from 1 species
AACGAACGCUGGCGGCAGGCUUAACACAUGCAAGUCGAGCGCCCCGCAAGGGGAGCGGCAGACGGGUGAGUAACGCGUGGGAAUCUACCCAUCUCUACGGAAUAACGCAUGGAAACGUGUGCUAAUACCGUAUACGUCCUUCGGGAGAAAGAUUUAUCGGAGAUGGAUGAGCCCGCGUUGGAUUAGCUAGUUGGUGGGGUAAGGACUACCAAGGCGACGAUCCAUAGCUGGUCUGAGAGGAUGAUCAGCCACACUGGGACUGAGACACGGCCCAGACUCCUACGGGAGGCAGCAGUGGGGAAUAUUGGACAAUGGGCGCAAGCCUGAUCCAGCCAUGCCGCGUGAGUGAUGAAGGCCCUAGGGUUGUAAAGCUCUUUCACCGGUGAAGAUAAUGACGGUAACCGGAGAAGAGGCCCCGGCUAACUUCGUGCCAGCCGCCGCCGUAACAC